CCUACGGGUGGCAGCAGUGGGGAAUAUUGCGCAAUGGGCGAAAGCCUGACGCAGCGACGCCGCGUGAGGGAUGAAGGCCCUCGGGUUGUAAACUUCUUUUAUCAAGGACGAAACAAAUGACGGUACUUGAUGAAUAAGCCACGGCUAACUACGUGCCAGCCGCAGCGGUAAUACGUAGGUGGCAAGCGUUAUCCGGAGAUACUGGGUGUACAGGGCGUGUAGGCGGAACUGCAAGUCAGAUGUGAAAACCAUGGGCUCAACACAUGGCCUGCAUGUGAAACUGUAGAUCUUGAGUGUGGGAGGGGCAGGUGGAAUUCCGGGUGUAGCGGUGAAAUGCGUAGAUAUAAGGAGGAACACCAGUGGCGAAGGCGGGCUGCUGGAAAAUAACUGACGCUGAGGCGCGAAAGCGUAGGGAGCAAACAGGAUUAGAUACCCGUGUAGUC
rnacentral:rRNA from 1 species